UCGAGCGGCAGCGGGAAGUAGUUUACUACUUUGCCGGCGAGCGGCGGACGGGUGAGUAAUGUCUGGGAAACUGCCUGAUGGAGGGGGAUAACUACUGGAAACGGUAGCUAAUACCGCAUGACCUCGCAAGAGCAAAGUGGGGGACCUUCGGGCCUCACGCCAUCGGAUGUGCCCAGAUGGGAUUAGCUAGUAGGUGGGGUAAUGGCUCACCUAGGCGACGAUCCCUAGCUGGUCUGAGAGGAUGACCAGCCACACUGGAACUGAGACACGGUCCAGACUCCUACGGGAGGCAGCAGUGGGGAAUAUUGCACAAUGGGCGCAAGCCUGAUGCAGCCAUGCCGCGUGUGUGAAGAAGGCCUUCGGGUUGUAAAGCACUUUCAGCGAGGAGGAAGGCAGUCG
rnacentral:rRNA from 1 species